rnacentral:rRNA from 1 species
GAUGAACGCUGGCGGCGUGCCUAAUACAUGCAAGUCGAGCGAACAGACGAGGAGCUUGUUCCUCUGACGUGAGCGGCGGACGGGUGAGUAACACGUGGAUAACCUACCUAUAAGACGGGGAUAACUUCGGGAAACCGGAGCUUAUAGCGGAUAAGAUAUUGAAGCGCAUGGUUGAAUAGUGAAAGACGGUGUUGCGGGCAGGUAUAGAUGGAUCCGGGCCGCAUGGGCUAGUUGGUAAGUUAACGGCUUACGAAGGCAACGAUGCGUAGCCGACCGGAGGGGGUGAUCGGCCACACUGGAGCUGAGACACCGUCCAGACUCCUACGAGAGGCAGCAGUAGGGAAUCUUCCGCAGUGGGCGAAAGCCUGACGGAGCAGCGCCGCGUGAGUGAUGAAGGUCUUCGGAUCGUAAAACUCUGUUAUUAGGGAAGAACCACUGUGUAAGUAACUGUGCACGUCUUGACGGUACCUGAUCAGAAAGCCACGGCUAACUACGUG